GGGCCCGCACAAGCGGUGGAGCAUGUGGUUUAAUUCGAUGCAACGCGAAGAACCUUACCAGGGCUUGACAUACUGCGAAUCUUUUUGAAAGAAGAGAGUGCCUUCGGGAAUGCAGAUACAGGUGGUGCAUGGCUGUCGUCAGCUCGUGUCGUGAGAUGUUGGUUAAGUCCCGCAACGAGCGCAACCCUCACUUUUAGUUGCCAUCAUUAAGUUGGGCACUCUGAAAGAACUGCCAGUGAUAAGCUGGAGGAAGGUGGGGAUGACGUCAAGUCCUCAUGGCCCUUACGUGUUGGGCUACACACGUGCUACAAUGGUAUCUACAACAGGAAGCAAGACGGCGACGUU
rnacentral:rRNA from 1 species